CGGUGGGGAGAGGCCGUUGGUCAGGUGGGCUCUUGUGAGAAGGGGGUUAGCCGGCUGUGAGGGCUUGUAUGAGGAGGAACCUUUGGUGUGAGGAGGAGCUCUUGGGGAGGGCUCAUUGGUGUGAGGAGAGAGUAACCAGCUGUGACGAGUUUUACCAGGAGGGGUUUUGGCAUGAGGGGCGGUUUUAGGGGACAGGUGAGGGGUUGCUGAGGGACAGGAGAACAAGAGAGAGCUGGCAUGUGGGGGUGCUGAGGGGAGUUUGGGAAAGAGGUUCUGUGGAAGCCCCAUGUGGGACGCUGAGGGUGGAGAGGGGCCUGAGGGAGAAGAUGGUGAGGGGCUGUUGCUGAGGCCAUUUGAGCUCGGCCACGGUUUUGGGGGGCAGCAGGGCUGAGAAAAGGUGUGGGGGAAUAGAAAGAUGUGGGCCUCAGCAAUGGGGUACGUGUGGCCUGGAUAUGGGUAGGGAGAAGAGGGGUAGGGGAGAGGCCUGGCAUGGGUGGCAGGGGACCGUGGGUUUGGGGCAGGAUGGCUGGAGGACAUGGAGCCGAGUGGAGCUGCCUGUGGCCAGGAGCAGCUCAGUUACAGGCAGUGACAAUCCCAGGAGGUGGUGGGUGACUGCUCUAGUGCAAGUGCCCUCACCAAAUGGGUGUAUUUCAGCCUGCCCUUGGCCAAGCUGAACCUAGGUUGUGGCCAGAAGAGGGGAAAAAAAUCUUAUGGGCUGAGCACAUAGUCUCCUAAACUGUACUCUUGGCUCUCAGUGGUGGGGUGUUGAACUUGGUAGGCUGUUGAGCCUUUGUGUGCUUUGGUAUCUCCAUCUACGAAGCAGAGAUAACAGUUAGAUUCAUGCAGGGAUUAAUUAUCGCAUCUUGUAGUAACGUGUUUGUUUAUUUGUUUUUACUGUAGAUUACAGCUGGAGGAAUUCUAAACAGUCCACUUCUCCUUGUCAUGGUGUUUGGGCGCAUUGUGCUCGGGUCUGAACAGAGGAAAUCACUGAGGAAGCAAAGGACUGGAGAUCCUAAACAGUAGCUGCAGUGGAGCCAUUUCCAGGAGGUCAAAGUCUACUGCGAACAGUGACCGGUACAAUUGCCCGUGUAAGUUAGGCUGGACUCCCUGUGCCUCAGGUUCUAGCAGGGGAGUUUGUGCAAGAACACCUUUGUAGGUGUUUGUGUGGAUUUCUCUGUGGUCCCUGUGAUGACCCUAGGAAGCAGGAGGAGAUCCAGAAUUGUCUGAAAGCCAGAAUUCUUUGAAAUCCCAGAGAAGUAAUGAUAAGAGAUGUGGCUGAGGCCAACCUGCUAGGCUGCCUCCCAUGCUGCUUCUUGCAUGUGUCCAAGAAGCUGCCUCCAGUUUAUACAAUUGCACUCUAGUACUAAACAAUUUUGCAUGCAGAUAUGGGCAGUAGAUGUUACUCAUGCCUGUGUGAACACUUCAAUAUUUUUACAACAGGCAUGAUCCUUACAUUGAGUCCUGUUAAACAAUGGAUGUACCCAACAGAAGUCCCACUUUGAAGGAUGGUAACGCCAUCCUUCUUUGGCCACUCAAGGGGAUUGACUCACAAAUAUGAGCAAAAUAAAAUUAGAUGGCUUAAGUGGCUGUAACUCCAGCUGUGUCCCUACUGCCCAAUUCCCAGAAGGUCAUCCCUGCAGCCAGGCUAGCUGUGAAAGGCAACUCCUGAGCUGCUGUAGUGACAGCCCAUUCUUCAGGGUGUUAUUUGUCUGGCUCCUCUGUGAAACAGUUUAGGAAACUUAACCAGAAUAAAAAUGUGCACUUUUCCAUCUGAAGAAUUGUUUUUUUUUUUAGUUUAAUUUCUCAAAUGGGCUCUGAGAAGCAGCAGUGUUGCUGUGAGGGCAGGGCAAAGAGAGAUGACCUUCCCUUUUGGGAGCAGCCAUUACGUCAGUUUUGCUGCCUCACAAAACUAUGCCCUAUGGUUAUUUUUGGUGCUGGACUGCCUUAAUUUUCUGGAGAGUGAAUGAAGGAUUAACAUUGUGUGCUUAUGACGUUUGGAAACUAAGCUUUUAGAAAAAAAAAAAUCAUAAUUCAUCAUGUGGAAAUGCUUAAAUUGCUAGGGAUGGGAAAGAUGAGUGUCCGUGAUAUUCAUUUCUACAAUUCAGCUAAGGGUUAAAUUCUUUUUUAAUUUUUUGGGUUUUGCUGCUUUUUAAGACCUCUAACCUAAUGCUUACUAUCCAGCUGCCUCUAGAGAGAGAAGACUUUAAAGAGACCAGCUUUGUACCUAUAAAUAAUGUACACAGCAGAGUACAAAAAUGGAGUCAAGGAGAAGCUCCUCCUUACCUGAACCUAACUGCAGCAGCUUUGUGAGAAUAGCUGUGGUCAGGCUGUGAGCAGCACUCGUACCCUGUCAUCCAUCUUGACUAAACUGCUUCUGAGAACUAAUUCUGGGAUUCCAACACUUGAAUAUCAACUGGUAAAUCACAACUGCCUUGUACUGAAACAUUAGAUGCCAGCAGCCAAAUGUGGCAAGGUUUGAACAGUGUGGUUAUAAUCCUAUUUGGAACUAAAGGUCUGCUGGAGUGCUUUGUUAAGUUGGAUGUGUUGGAAUAUGGAGGAUUUCGCAAGUCUGAACCCCUGCUGUAAAUGAAAACACUGUGGCAAAAAAAUGUAAAUAAAUGCCACACAUACUUUGUGUAAGAGCCCUUACCAAAAUCUAUAAAUACGGUAAUUUUGGUGUUUACCAAUUUUGAGUUUUAAACAGGAGACAGACACUUGAAAUAUUACAAUGCAAGCAUUUUAUUUUUUUCAUGGAUUAAUUUUAUAAUUUGACUUUUAACUUACCUUAAAAGAGUUAAUGGAAAUUAAAUGUAGUGUUUUAAAGAGGAUUGCCUUUGAAAGGAAAUAAUUUGUUCUUGAAAAAAUAACUACACUAGCUUCUCAGUUUAACUGCAUUUUAAUAUGAACACAAAACUCAUCCCAGGUUAGACUCUCCAGGAAAACUUUCUCAUGAUUACUGUAGCAGUUGAUUCAUUCCUUGCUGACUUAAUUCUGCAGCUUUAAAUGGCAGGUUCUCUGCAAAGCCAUCCACUUCAAAGCUUCAUAAAACAGAGCUUUGAAUAAAUUACUGAGUUAGAAAUUAUACUGGCUGUGCCCAGUUUUGUGCCUGGAUGUGGGAAUACUUGGCACUGGCUGUGGAAUUCCAAGGAAAAUUGCCUCUUUGCAGGCUUGCCAAAGAGCAGUAAGAAGGAAAACUGCUGCAGAUGAGCAGACAUGGAAAUAUCCAGUUUCCCUUCCCAGAGAACACAUCCUGAAGAACUGUUGAAUAUUAAUACACGUUAUAACUGGUGCAACAUUGGGCAAACACUGGGAUUAACAGGAACUACUGCUUCUGGAGGGGAUGUGUCCCAGUGUGGCCACAGAGCAGCCCUGCCUGCUGGAACUACUCUUACCUUUAAAAUGCAUCCCUGCAGAUGCAAUGUGGAAUCAGUGGGAAGUAGGGAAGGCCUACCAUGUGUGGACACAUGUGUUGAGGGUAUGAGAUGCCUGUGCUUCAUGUGCCAGGUGAUGAGCCCCAGGCUGUAUUAUUUUGGGGGGGUUUUUUCUCUCUUUUGCAAGCUUUAGAUAAUAUGAUGGUGAUAAUAUGACACUUCUAAGCAGUGACAUAGUUGAUUUGUCUUUCACAAAGAGCCCACCUUCCUCUGUAUUUGGAUUUCUGGUAUGUGUGUGUGGAGAUGAUUUGUAUAUAAUUGUUUGCUUUUUUCAGAGUCUUUUGAAGUUUAAAUCUUCAAGCCUGCUCCCUAUAUUAAAAAUAAAUUCUUCCAAGCCACCAAUAAAAUGUCAGCUAUGAUUAAAGCCCAACUCUUCAUUUUAAGACUUGUCCCUUAAGCACUGUGAGGUCACUCAAUGAGUGAGCAUUUGAAAGGACCAGGACCAUUAAUGUUUGGGUAAAGCCCAAAGUUCAUCAUUGCUUGCUUUAAAUAGUUUCAUCACAUUUUAAAUUGCUUUGCAUUGUGCUGAAAGAAAUGUAAACUGCAGGAAUGAUUUGGCAGAUAACUUGUGAUAUUUCAGGCACCUAAAAUCUUGAAAAAACCCUCUGUAUUAAUGUUGAAGUUGGUAUUUCUGGUAAGGAAAAGCUUUAUCUCCUGUCUAGUAAAAAGGAGGGUGAAGUGGGAAGCUGUGUUUGAGGCAUAAACUUUCAACUGUGUUCUCUUAAAAUAAAGCUUGGGAACUGUAAAAUCUCCAGACAAGGGCUCUUGUGCAGUGCCAAAGUCUGGUAGGGCUUUUCUAGACACAUGAACUUUAUUAAUUUUAUUAAAAUAGUGAAAAAGUAGAACAGAGCAUUAAGCUGCAAGGGAAAGCCUUGAGAAGCAAGUCCAUACUAUUUUGAAGACUAUCUGUGGAGCCCAUUUAUAUUCUUUUGUGCACAUUAAUUGUAAUAGUGUUUAAUUACAUGAACACAUUUUAUUUUGUCACUUUUCCUCCCUGUUUGCUGCAGUGCACGCUGUUAGGACUAUUUGGAGCAAUUAAUCACACCAGAGCAGCAAAUA